rnacentral:tRNA from 1 species
CUCAUCGAAUAAUGUCUCUCAACGGCGGGAAAAACAAGAACAA